CUUGAGGCAGGGGGUAGAGGAACUUAGUAAACCCGGUGUGGCUGAUGUCCCAUAAUGGAGGUUUAGAAACACAGCAAUGAAAUUAGAGACCAGUACCCACCCAAAGAGAAUGGGAAUCCCGUGAUUCCCCAGAAAGUAAUAAUGUAGAAAUGCUUUGAGAUUAUUCCGUAUUAAAUGAAAAAGUUGACGUCUUUGCCCGUACCGGAGAAUUGAAGUAAUAUUUAGGAUUCUCACAGGGACCUAGAUACCUUUGAAAUGGGGGUUGGUGAGAGACUAGCCUUAAAAAAGGGCGAGUGUGACCCUGGUCCAAACCAUGGAGAGCAAAAUGGACUCAUUACAUCUUUGGCAAAUGCACUGGACUUUUAUAAUUUGAGGUAUCAAAGACUUCAAUUACCCCAUGAGCUUGGCUGCUACUACUCAUCCUCCUCUUCAAGUCAACAGAAGGAAGCUAACCAGUGAGAACGCAGGCCUCUGAUGACAAGGAGGAGAAAAUCAUGAAGAAGCUACUGCCUUGAAGAGCCUGAGAACCACUGGCCACAGGGAGAAGAGAGGACUCAGGUCCAGUCCUGUCUUAUCCUUUUGGUUCCUCAUCUCUAGGGCUGAUACCAAGUGCUUUGACUCAUGGAAUAACUUGCUGCUGUGGACCACCAGUAUUAGCGGAUAUGUAGGUUAUAGGUUCUGAUUGGUUUAACAUGAUAUGUAAAGUUGCAAAUCAAAACACAACUUUGGUCUAGAUUGUAACUCAGGAGAGUUACUAAUGUUUUGAUUAGAUCUCAGACUCAUGCACAUGCAGGGCUCAUUA